rfam:Lactobacillus johnsonii NCC 533, complete genome.
AAUUGAAUAGGUGAUGACGUUCACCAAUUAAACUGAGCAAAAUCUAACGACGUCUACUUCCUA